GCCUGUGUGGCCGAGUGGUUCUAGGCGCUUCAGUUCGGAACCGCACGACCGCAGGUUCGAAUCCUGCCUCGGGCA